UUUUGACAUGCUGCUAAGAGGAAGGAAGACAGCUCCUGUGUGGACUCAGAAGACGCAACUGGAAAGUUAUUAAAAACCACUGACCCAUUGACGGAAGUGACGCACUCUUCGCGCAUGCGUGGAACAACUACCAAACAUUUCGAAAAAUGCGACGGCUUCUCUACUCCAGAGUGAUGCAAAGUUUUGGUUUUGGAUUACCUGCUAGUCCAGGAGCCAAAGGUGGACCUGGAGUUAAAGACGAGCCUGGUCCCAGAGGUCAUGCCGGCAUGUCCGGUGACCCUUGACCUUUGGGAAGCAAAGGAGAGAGAGAGGAGCGAUGGGCGUUCCAGGUGCUCAAGGUCUGAGUGGAACCAAAGGAGACAAGGUGUCCCCCAGGGUUGGGUGCUUGGUCCACUUCUCUUCAUUGUACAUGCUCCCCCUCGGUAACAUCAUCCGCCGCCAUCACCUCCAAUUCCACUGCUACACAGAUGAUGUCCAGCUACAUCUCCACAAAAUCUCUCCACCCUGACCGACUGCCUCACUGAAAUCAAAUCAUGGCUGCACUCCAACUUCCUCAAACUCAACUGACAAAUCUGACAUGCUCAUCGUGGGCCCCAAAUCCCUCACCAAAACUGCUCACAACUCUACUCUGUCCCCAUCCACUCACAUCCGCAACCUCGGAGUCAUUCUGGACAAUAAGCUCUCUUUUCAACACCGGGUCAACCACAUCACAAGAACUGCUUUCUUCCACCUCCAAAAUAUUGCCCGUCUCCGUCCAUCCUUCUCUGCCGCUGAAACCCUGAUCCAUGCCUUCAUCACCUCCACACUUGACUACUGUAACGGCAUCCUCUACGACUCAUCUUGCAAAAUUCUCAAAGUCCAAUACAUUCAAAACUCUGCCGCCCGCCUGCUCAGCCACACCCGCUCCCGUGAGCACAUCACCCCAGUCCUCCAGAAACUCCACUGGCUCCCCAGUCCUCACCGGAUCCACUUUAAAUCCUCCUCCUCACCCACAAAGCCCUCCACAAGCAGGCCCCCUGCUACCUCACCAACCUGCUUCACCUCCAUACCUUCACGCAGCCUCCGCUCCUCUGAUGCCAACCUGCUCUCCCCACCAUGCAGAACCAAGCUUCGGACCUGGGGUGACAGCUUUCUCCAUCGCUGCUCCCACCCUCUGGAACACUCUUCCCAAACCCAUCCGUGACCAGUGUUGGGUUAGUUACUGAAAACCAGUAACUAGUUACUUUAUUUCAAAAGUAACUCAGUUACUUACACCAAAAAGUAAUGCGUUACUGUGAAAAGUAACUAUUUAAUUAGUUCUAUUUUUCUUUCUUUUUCUAAAGCUCCCAUUAAUGCCCUUUUAGCCUUCAUUUCAGUACUGUUAUUGCACUGGAGAAUAAUACAAUUUGUUGAUCAACUUGACUUUUUGAUUGAUUGAAACUUUUAUUAGAUUGCACAGUACAUAUUCCGUACAAUUGACCACUAAUUGGUAACACCCCAAUAAGUUUUUCAACUUGUUUAAGUCCACGUUAAUCAAUUCAUGGCAUGCAUUUUUAUCUUCCUUUUAACAUAAUUAAUGAAAAACAGUGCAACAUCAAAAGACACUUCUCCUUUCUUUAAACUUGGACCAAUGACCAAUAAUAAAAACCAAGUUAAAGUGCAACAUAAGAAGGCACAUCAUCUUCCUUGAAACAUAGGUAGUGAAAUAAAGCCUGACAUCUGGAGUGAUGCUGCUGUCUUCCACACUUGGAGUCAUGGAUUGUACAAUCCUUGUUUUCAGUGGCAGGAUCAUUGACACAGAUGGUGACGUUUCAGUGCUCAGUAGAGAUGGAACAGUUCUGAGGGGUUUAAGCACCUGGAGGACCUCCUCUGCCACUCUCACGUCAUCAUCAGACAGGUUGAUGUCUGACAUUUGUCUUCAGGGUGUUGUGGGUCAAUGCUGAGUAUAUAGCUGCCUGCUGCUCCAACAUAUCACAAAUUGAUUAACGUGGACUUAAACAAGUUGAAAAACUUAUUGGGGUGUUACCAUUUAGUGGUCAAUUGACCACUGAUGGAUGGAAUAUGUACUGUACUGUGCAAUCUACUAAAGUCUCAAUCAAUCAAAAUCAUACUUGAGCAGAGUAGACUUCUUUUAUUUUUCUGUUUUUCGGCUCAUCUUUCAGGCUCUCUGUCCUUUCCUCUCCUGCUCAGCAUCUGCUGCAAAGCUUGACUUGAAAUGUACGGAACGUGGAUCAGCUGCAGACCAACCAAGAGCUCUCCCAACUGAAAAAAAGGUAUGACGACUUGAGUGGGCUGAUAAUUAACUGUUUCAUUUGUAACUUGUAUUUUUGUAGCUUACCUUAACUGACACUUGUGUUUCAUCUCCGCUACUCACUCCGCCGCUCAUCGCUGGCUCCGCCGCUCCCUGCGCUGCGAUUCACUCUCCAAACAAUCAAUCAAUCAAUCAAUCAAUGUUUAUUUAUAUAGCCCUAAAUCACAAGUGUCUCAAAGGGCUGUACAAGCCACAACGACAUCCUCGGUACAGAGCCCACAUACGGGCAAGGAAAAACUCACCCCAGUGGGACGUCGGUGAAUGACUAUGAGAAACCUUGGAGAGGACCGCAUAUGUGGGUAACCCCCCCCCCCCUCUAGGGGAGACCGAAAGCAACGGAUGUCGAGUGGGUCUGACAUAACAUUGUGAAAGUCCAGUCCACAGUGGAUCCAACACAUCAGCGGGAGUCCAGUCCACAGCGGGGCCAACAGGAAACCAUCCCGAGCGGAGACGGGUCAGCAGCGCAGAGAUGUCCCCAACCGAUGCACAGGCUAGUGGUCCACCCGGGGUCCCGGCUCUGGACAGCCAGCACUUCAUCCAUGGCCACCGGACCUAUGCAACUCCCCCUCGCAAGGGACAGGAGAAGAGGAGAGAAGAAAAACGGCAGAUCAACUGGUCUAAAAAGGGGGGGUCUAUUUAAAGGCUAGAUUAUACAAAUGAGUUUUAAGAUGGGACUUAAAUGCUUCUACUGAGGUAGCAUCUCUAACUGUUACCGGGAGGGCAUUCCAGAGUACUGGAGCCCGAAUAGAAAACGCUCUAUAGCCCGCAGACUUUUUUUUGGCUCUGGGAAUCACUAAUAAGCCGGAGUUCUUUGAACGCAGAUUUCUUGUCGGGACAUAUGGUACAAUACAAUCGGCGAGAUAGGCUGGAGCUAAACCGUGUAAUAUUUUAUACGUAAGUAGUAAAACCUUAAAGUCGCAUCUUAAGUGCACAGGAAGCCAGUGCAAGUGAGCCAGUAUAGGCGUAAUAUGAUCAAACUUUCUUGUUUUUGUCAAAAGUCUAGCAGCCGCAUUUUGUACCAACUGUAAUCUUUUAAUGCUAGACAUAGGGAGGCCCGAAAAUAAUACGUUACAGUAAUCGAGACGAGACGUAACGAACGCAUGAAUAAUGAUCUCAGCGUCGCUAGUGGACAAGAUGGAACGAAUUUUAGCGAUAUUACGGAGAUGAAAGAAGGCCGUUUUAGUAACACUCUUAAUGUGUGACUCAAACGAGAGAGUUGGGUGGAAGAUAAUACCCAGAUUCUUUACAGAGUCUCCUUGUUUAAUUGUUUGGUUGUCAAAUGUUAAGGUGGUAUUAUUAAAUAGAUGUUGGUGUCUAGCAGGACCGAUAAUCAGCAUUUCCGUUUUCUUAGCGUUGAGUUGCAAAAAGUUAGCGGACAUCCAUUGUUUAAUUUCAUUAAGACACGCCUCCAGCUGACUACAGUCCGGCGUGUUGGUCAGCUUUAGGGGCAUGUAGAGUUGAGUGUCAUCAGCAUAACAGUGAAAGCUAACACCGUACUUGCGUAUGAUGUCACCCAGCGGCAGCAUGUAAAUACUAAAGAGUGCAGGGCCAAGAACCGAACCCUGGGGAACUCCGCACGUUACCUUGACAUAGUCCGAGGUCACAUUGUUAUGGGAGACGCACUGCAUCCUGUCAGUAAGAUAAGAGUUAAACCAAGACAAGGCUAAGUCUGACAUACCAAUACGUGUUUUGAUACGCUCUAAUAAAAUAUUAUGAUCGACGGUAUCGAAAGCGGCGCUAAGAUCAAGAAGCAGCAACAUAGAUGACUCAUCAGAAUCCAUCGUUAGCAAUAGAUCAUUAGUCAUUUUUGCGAGGGCUGUCUCCGUAGAGUGAUUUGCCCUGAAACCGGAUUGAAAAGGUUCACAGAGAUUGUUAGUCACUAAGUGUUCAUUUAGCUGCUGUGCAACAAUUUUUUCGAGAAUUUUGGAAAUAAACGGAAGGUGGGAGACCGGUCGGUAGUUUACCAUGAGGUCAGGAUCGAGGUUAGGUCUUUUGAGCAGAGGAUGAAUAACCGCUUUUUUGAAUGCUAGGGGAACAGUGCCGGAGGAAAGUGAUAAGUUUAUAAUAUUUAACACUGAUGGACCUAAUAAUACAAACUGUUCCUUGAUAAGUUUCCCAGGAAGUGGGUCAAGUAAACAUGUUUGUUUUAUCCCACUUACACGCUGUAAUAAUUCCUCGUUAUUUCAUCAAAAAUAGAGAGACUAUUUUGGAGGGCAGUGUCCGUCGUAUAUACAGUCGUAUUUGUGUUAAUAGAGCCCAGUUGUAGCUGGGAUGCGUUGUCUUUAAUCUCCUUUCUAAUGAGUUCAAUUUUCUUAUUAAAGAAAUUCAUAAAGUCAUCUGCCGAGUGGGUGGAGCUACUGGGAGGAGUCCCUUGUUGGGUUAGCGAUGCUACUGUACUAAACAGAAAUUUAGGAUCGUUUUUGUUGAGGCGGAUGAGAUUUGAGUAGUAUUUAGCUUUAGCUAAGGUAAGCAUGCGUUUAUAGGUUAUUAAACUAUCACUCCAUGCUUGAUGGAAAACCUCAAGUUUAGUCGCGCGCCGUUUGCGUUCCAGUUUUCUACAUGAUGAUUUAUGAGCUCUAAUUUCUUCUGUAAACCAUGGGGUGCGCCUUUUAGGGGCCCUUUUUUGCUUUAGCGGUGCUAUACUAUCAAUAAUUUCGCGCAAGGCAUCGUCAAAGUUGUUAGUGAGGUUAUCAAUAGAGCCGACAUAAUUUGGGAAUGGUGCUAUUACCGAAGGCAGUAGGUCAGCAAGAGUCAUCGUUGUGGCAGCAUUAAUGUUGCGGCCGCUAUAGCAGUUAUUAUUAUUAUUAGCUUGUUGACAAAGAGUCAAAACUUCAAAUUUUAUAAGGUAAUGAUCGGACAUUACUUUAGUAUAUGGAAGUAUCAUAACUUUGGAGGUGGUGACACCCCUGACAAGCACUAGAUCUAUUGUAUUACCGUUGCGAUGCGUGGGUCAUGUAUUAUUUGUGUAAGACCACAGCUAUCAUUUAUGGUUUGGAGCGCCACGCACUGAGGGUCCGAUGGGGUAUUCAUAUGGAUAUUAAAGUCCCCCAUUAUGAUUAUAUUGUCGGCGUGCGUCACUAGAUCAGCAACGAACUCUGAGAAUUCACUGAUAAAGUCCGAAUAGGGCCCAGGGGGGCGGUAGAUAACAGCCAGGUCGAGAGGUAGCGGUGUGACAGACCUCAUAGUAAGCACCUCAAACGAUUUAUAUUUAUUAUUUAGGUUAGGGGUAAGGUUGACAUUUUCAUUGUAUAUUAGUGCGACACCCCCUCCCCUUUUAAGAGGACGGGCAACAUGCGCAUUCGUAUAGUUAGGAGGAGAUGCCUCAUUGAGCGCAAAAAAUUUGUCCGGUUUGAGCCAGGUUUCGCUAAGACCAAUGACGUUAAGAUUGUUGUCUCUAAUGACCUCAUUAACCAAUAACGCCUUGGGAGACAAUGAUCUUAUGUUUAAAAAGCCCAUAUUAUAGGUAUUGGGCUGUUUUGACGAGUUUUUAAGAUUAUCCGUAGUGACAAUAUUAACAAUGUUGCGUUUAUUAUGCGUAGUGCACUUUAAAUAGUUUCGACCAUAUCUAGGAAUUGAUAUGACGGGAAUUUUCCGAUUUGUUUACUUGGUGCUGCAAUAGACUGGACAUAUCAUAAUUUGCCACCUCAGUAGAAUGCAUGUCCACCCCUGACACAGACACAACAGAAAAAACAUUAUGUGAAUUGUGUAUUAUUCUAAGAGAAUUGCUAUGCGUACAUGGAUUAUCCGGCCUGGCGCUGGCUAGUUCUAGCUUAACUGACUCCUCACCCGGACUAACAGACAUUGUAAUUGCCUGUGACCGGGCUUGUUCUAGUGUAGUCAGUCAAGUGAGACUUAAAUAGUAGUCUAUGUUUCUAGACAGGAUGAUGGCGCCUUCCUGGUUAGGGUGAAGGCCGUCUCAUCAGCAAGCCUGGUUUGCCCCAGAAAGAGGGCCAGUUAUCAAUAAACGUUAGUCCCUGCUCCCUACAGUAGCUAGCCAGCCACUUGUUAAGCGAGACUAAUCUGCUAUACCUCUCAUCAUUGCCUCUCGCAGGCAGGGGGCCAGAGACAAUUACUCGAUGCCUGGACAUCUUUCUGGCGAGAUCACAAGUCCUGGCUAUGUUUCUCUUUGUAAUCUCUGACUGUCUCAUUCUAGUGUCAUUGGAGCCAACGUGUACAACUAUAUUCGCAUAAUUAGUGGUGCGAUUAGCCUGUCGUACGUGUUUACUAGGCCUGUUGCGAGUUAGCUCCCUAAGAUUAGCUUCAAUGUCAGGUGCUCUGGCCCCGGGGAUACACUUUAUUGUGGCUGGUUUGCUAAGCUUUAUGUUUCGGGUGAUGGAGUCCCCUAUAACUAAGGUGUGGUGCCCGGUAGACUGGGGUGUAGGACUAGCUAAAGAGCUAAAUCUAUUAUGCGUCUCAACCGGUACACCGUAGCUUGUAGGCCGCUUAGGACUGCUACAAGCUGGGCUAGUUAGCUCGCUACAGCUAACGCUAGCAGAUGUGUCCGCAACAUCUAAAGUUACGACAUUACUCUGCUCUAACUGGCGGACACGGCCCUCUAGCAGAGCCAACCUCUCCGUGAGUAUGGUGCAAGACGCGCAGGAAGCCAUUACUCAGUGUUUUCUGUCACCGAGGGAAGUGACAGAAAUACUUUUAAUUUCAGUUAAGGUAAGAUACAAGUUACAAAUGAAAGUUUAUUAUCAGCCCACUCAAGUAGUCAUACCUUUUUCUCAGUUGUGCGAGCUCAUGUUUGGUGUGCAGCAGAUCCACUGCAAGAGAUUGCUUAAACUUAACAACAAUAUUGUAAUGUCAGAUUGUAGAAUCUACAUUCCUUACAUUUCAGUUCAACAUUGCGAAUCUUAGCUUUGACCUUUUUCUUGUUUUCCCUGACCCCCUGCAGCCGUUCUUGCAGCCUUCUUUUGUCCGCUCGCAGAGACUCUUCCUGCCUCCUGUACUCCGCCAUGUCUCUGGCAUCCUCCAUCACCUCUUGGUGGAGCCGUGUAACGUCCUGUUCACCACAAGUAAAUCCACACAGCAAUCAUACUGUAUAUAUGGCAAGAUAACUGCAGGAUAUUUCUGUGUAACAGAGGAGUGACUAACUCAUGAAUGUGUGAAAAUAUUUCCCGGUCUUAUUCUUUUAUUUCUGAUUUAGAACAUGACACUGAGUUUGUGUGUUUUUUGGACACAAUAUUUUGGCAUUAAAAAAUGCCACACAUUCUGCUGCAUGUGUGCCUGCUUACCUUUUCUAAGGAAGACUUUAAACAUGGAAGUUGUUCAACAUUAAA